AGGAUGGUUGUCCCAUCCAUACCUCCUCCCUGCCGCCACUCCACCUGGAUCCUCGGGAUCCAUCCCGGACCAACCAGCGAGCCCCCCUCCUCCUGCUUUGAUCCCCGAAGGGAUCGAGAGAGCUGCCGCCGCCUCGUCACCUCCCGCGCCUCUCGACCCCCGCCUCCUCUGCAUGCAUCUCACCGGAGCAAGCCCCAUCCCGAUCCAGCCGUCGCCGGCGAACAACAGCAGCACCUGAGCCCCCCGCUCCCUGCCUCCUCACACCGGCGACCAACCCGACGACACCAGGCCCUGUCUCGCGCCCCUGUUUUUUUUCCUUCGUCUCCCUCGCUGCUCCCUCUGUCUCACCCGAUUCUCUCUCUCUCUCUCUCUCUCUCUCUCUCUCUCUGUUCUCUGUAACAGCGCCGUCGCCUGAGGAGCUCCUCGCCUGCGCCGUCUUCAACCUCGUCGAACCAGGCCACCCCGGCCAGCCUUCCGCCACCUGCAAGCCAACCCCACCGCCGGCCGCCCUUCCCCAUCUCGAUCGGAUCCAGGACCCCGCCACCUCCAGCCACCUCUCCACGGUCAUGGCACCGCUGGAGGUUCCUUGCCUCGAGCCUCUGCCACGACCAGCACCCGACCAGCAGGUCGCCAGCGCGCCCGAUGCCUCCUCCUCACGCAUGCCUGGCCGCGCCACCGGACCUCGCAGGCAACAACAGCCUCCUUCAACCUCGUCGCCUCAAGCCCCUGCUUCGUCUCCUCCUACGUGGAUCCAUUCGCCCUCGCGUCGUUCCCACGGGAUCAGGCGCGUUCCGGCCGGGAAGAGCCCCGCCGCUGCGACCUCCUGCAUCCUGCCGCCAUGGCGCCACUGCCGUUCUCCUUCAGCGAGACUAGUAAGCUUGCACGUGCAAUGCACGUCUUGCUUGCACAUGCAAAGGUUGUUGAUAACAACAACAGUAACACAAUCGCCGCGAGAAAAAUGUGUGAUGUAGCACAAUGGUGACACCAACGCCUCCCGGCUGUGCCCAGCUGUGGCAACUGCCACACCCCACUGCCACCGGACGGCGCCCCCAUCCAGGAGUACACAAGUUGCCCGCCAAGCGAGAUCUUGCAAAUCUUCUCUAUCAUUGUCAUUGCAAAAGGACUUUCAUCAGUGGCUCGCUGACAAUCUCCCCCAAACCCUACAAGAGAUUCAAGUAAGUUUAAACUUCCAUUUUGCACAUGUGCAAUUGAGUCACUCACCUUGCUAGAUUAGGUCAGAUCUAUUAUCCAUACCUAAGCCCUCCGAAUUAUUGUAUUUUCCUGGCCAGAUAAUGGAUCAACAAGCUUGUCCCUUCAUAUUGUCAAACACGGGCUGACUGGAUCAUCUACUUUGGUCAUUCAAAUUAUAAAACACAAUCAUGAUAUUGAAAUCUCAUCUCAUUCCAUCACGUGAGCUUUUCCCAGUUUUUUUUAAAGAGCUUUUCUCAGUUUUGGACAAACUGAAUGACGGUGACGAUUUGUAUAUUGUAGCUUUUUCUUUCAUACGCUUCACUGGGUAGAUGGGAGAGCGCGCUGUGCCCUAUGUUCAACCCCAAAAACCUUGAUUCAAGGUUUGUAGGUCAUAGUAGUUGUCAUCACUCGCAAGCUUGCUUGUGCACUUUAAAAAACUGCAUGACGAAGCACAUCAAGAGCGGCAAAGGUGCUCUCAAGUUGUUAUGCAUAUCAUAUGGCACAUGUAGGACAACAAAAUGACAGUCAUCAAGGAAAAUAUAUAAUUACCAAAUCAACCCCAAAUCAGCACUCGCAUCUCCAUCUAUGUAUCAGACUACUUGGAACUGAACUGAAUGUAAAGCAAGAUUUAAGUGUUGACCAUUAGUCCUCAAUGUCCCAUGUGUUCUCCAUCCUGCUCCUGAUUUUACUGUCCUACUCUAGUUCGUAGUCUAAAUUUAGUUACUGGUUGCACUCACCCCUAAGUGAACACUAAAAGUUUUAACAGGAUAAAUCACACAGAUAUAUCAUUAAUUACCUUAGUCAAUAGAGUCCUGGAAUUGGGUCACAAGAUCCUGACAAAACUGACCGGAGUUUUCGUAGUUCUCUGAAACUUUUCAUGUCUGGUUCGCUACUACUCACAGUUCUUUCUUGGAUUAAAUAAGCCCCAUGAAAGCAAAUUUUCUUGGGGUAUACGACUGAAAAGAAGGUUGUAAAAUUCAUCAAAAUCAUCUAGAACAAAACAGUAUGACAUACUUUUUGCGCAAGUACUGUAAAAACAAGUAUUACCUGUCCUAGCCUUUCUUUCUCAAUAGUCUCUGGCUUGUACUGAAAAAACAGUAUGACGUACUUU